rnacentral:rRNA from 1 species
GACAGAGGGUGCAAACGUUGUUCGGAAUUACUGGGCGUAAAGCGUGUGUAGGUGGCUGCGUAAGUCGGAUGUGAAAGCCCUGGGCUCAACUCAGGAAGUGCACUCGAUACUGCGUAGCUUGAGUACCGGAGAGGUUGGUAGAAUUCUCGGUGUAGAGGUGAAAUUCGUAGAUAUCGAGAGGAAUACCUGUGGCGAAGGCGGCCAACUGGACGGAGUACUGCACUGAGACACGAAAGCGUGGGGAGCAAACAGG